rnacentral:rRNA from 1 species
UAAACCUUUGAAGUGAGUUAUGUGGGUCAAGGUAUAAUGAUUAAUUGGAGUUCUAGUUCAUUUACUUUGAGAAAAUUAGAGUGUUCAAAGCAUGAUUCACAUUUGAAUAAUACAGCAUGGGAUAAUAUAAUAUGACAUUAGUUAAAAUUUGUUGGUUUCUUUGGCUAAUGUAAUGAUUAAAAGGGACAGUUGGAGUAAUUUAUAUUGGUUGGGGAGGGGUGAAAUCCUAUGAUCCUUCCAAGAUAAACUAGUGCGAAAGCAUUUUACUAGGAUGUUUUCAUUAAUCAAGAACGAAAGUUGGGGGAUCGAAGAUGAUCAGAUACCGUCGUAGUCUCAACCAUAAACUAUGUCGACUAAGGAUGAUAAAAUAUUAAAUGAAUGAUUUUUGUCGCACUUUAAAAGAAUUAAAGUAUUCAGACUCCGGGGG